CAGUGCGAAUUGGCUGACGGCCUCGGACGAAAUGGGCAUGCAGCGCAGUCGCACCGCAGCGGAUAGGCAUCCAGUGUAAAACAGGGGUUAGGGGGGACAUGAUCCAGAUUUUCCACACAGAGCGCCGUAUCCUUGUCGCCGGGAAGAAUAACAUCCCUCUGAAGGAUUUUUCAGCAGCCUCCCCCAAAUAGAAGAAAAUGCCCCCCCCCCAUUUUUUAUUCUUUUACUCACUCACCCUGACGGAUGCUAAAAGGUGAAGAUGCGUCAAGGCUGAAGCUCAGGCAGACAGGCGGCACGUGUGUGAGUGCCGUCCUGUCCUGUCCAGUGUCUAAGGAUGGACGGCGGCUUCAGUGAGAAAUCCGUGCUUCCUGUCGGGAGGAAAAUGGCCCCACACUGUCCUGGGAAGCACUCUGCAGAGGAGAAGGAGGAGGAGGAGGAGGAGAAGGAGGAGGAGCUCCACUGGUCCUGGCUUCGGGGAGAGCAAAAUACUUGGUCACAUAAUAAGACCUUGAUAUACUAAACAAUAUGAUUUUUCUAAAUGGAAACUGGAAAAAACAUAACUGUGUAUAUGGUCUGUGCAACACCUGAAAGUUUCAUGUUUUCAUGUUUACUUUCUCAGAAUGAUGUGUGAUUUUUUGUUUCUUUGGUUCUGGAUGUCAGUGGGUUGGAGGCUGGGAGGAAUGAUGAGGGCAGGAUUGGUAAUCGGGUCUGCUAUCCUGCAAUUUCAUUUCGGCCGACUGCAAGGCUCUGGUGGAGCAGAGAUUUACCGGCUCGGCGCUGAGGAUGAGCAGCAGACGGAUCUGUGGGGGUUAGGACAGUAUCAGCCAGGGGCUUCUUCAUUCUCAGAGGAUCUUGUGGAAGACUGCUUCCAUGAAGACCCUGUUUAUUACACCUAGGUUCACUGGACCAAAUAGCAGUUCAUGACCUCUGCUAUUUAUAUCUAUGGUAGUACACUGCUGUUGCUGCUGUUUAUGAAGCUUAUGUCUAUGGUAGUAUGCUGCUGUUGCUGCUGUUUAUGCUUUUUGUAUCUAUGGUAUCAUUUCCUAAAAUGCAACCCAAAGACUGUAGUUUUCCUUGAAUACAG